rnacentral:rRNA from 1 species
UACGAAGGGGGCUAGCGUUGCUCGGAAUCACUGGGCGUAAAGCGCACGUAGGCGGAUCAUUAAGUCGGGGGUGAAAUCCUGGAGCUCAACUCCAGAACUGCCUUCGAUACUGAAGAUCUCGAGUCCGGGAGAGGUGAGUGGAACUCCGAGUGUAGAGGUGAAAUUCGUAGAUAUUCGCAAGAACACCAGUGGCGAAGGCGGCUCACUGGCCCGAUACUGACGCUGAGGUGCGAAAGCGUGGGGAGCAAACAGG